rnacentral:rRNA from 1 species
GUGGGGAAUAUUGGACAAUGGGCGCAAGCCUGAUCCAGCCAUGCCGCGUGAGUGAUGAAGGCCCUAGGGUUGUAAAGCUCUUUCACCGGAGAAGAUAAUGACGGUAUCCGGAGAAGAAGCCCCGGCUAACUUCGUGCCAGCAGCCGCGGUAAUACGAAGGGGGCUAGCGUUGUUCGGAAUUACUGGGCGUAAAGCGCACGUAGGCGGACAUUUAAGUCAGGGGUGAAAUCCCGGGGCUCAACCCCGGAACUGCCUUUGAUACUGUGUGUCUGGAGUAUGGAAGAGGUAAGUGGAAUUCCGAGUGUAGAGGUGAAAUUCGUAGAUAUUCGGAGGAACACCAGUGGCGAAGGCGGCUUACUGGUCCAUUACUGACGCUGAGGUGCGAAAGCGUGGGGAGCAAACAGGAUUAGAAACCCUUGUAGUCC